rnacentral:rRNA from 1 species
GUGAGGAAUAUUGGACAAUGGGCGCAAGCCUGAUCCAGCCAUGCCGCGUGCAGGAAGACGCAUCUAUGGUGUGUAAACUGCUUUUGUACGGGAAGAAACACUCCCUCGUGAGGGAGCUUGACGGUACCGUAAGAAUAAGGAUCGGCUAACUCCGUGCCAGCAGCCGCGGUAAUACGGAGGAUCCAAGCGUUAUCCGGAAUCAUUGGGUUUAAAGGGUCCGUAGGCGGUUUAAUAAGUCAGUGGUGAAAGCCCAUCGCUCAACGAUGGAACGGCCAUUGAUACUGUUAGACUUGAAUUACAAGGAAGUAACUAGAAUAUGUAGUGUAGCGGUGAAAUGCUUAGAUAUUACAUGGAAUACCAAUUGCGAAGGCAGGUUACUACUUGUGGAUUGACGCUGAUGGACGAAAGCGUGGGGAGCGAACAGGAUUAGAAACCCGAGUAUCC